UUUCCAUUGAAAUUAUCUUCCAUUCCAUUCAUAAUUGGAUUACGAAAUUCCUUCGUUAUCAGUCCUACAUUUUGUUUGAGUGAUCUCUUUCAUCUAUCGUCCGCAUCUGACAGUGUUUUUGUUCUUCUUCGACAUGUCUUGGAGGUGUUGUUUUUCUGGUUGUGGUUCCGAAGGAGUACCUUUAUUUCAUAUUCCAAAAUUUAAUGAAAGUUUAAAAACUGCUUUGCAAGAAAAAAAAAAGGGAUCGUAGAAUUGUUUGGCUUCAAAAACUUAACGUGAAGGAAUGUGACUUAAACAACAACACUCGUGUUUGCUCUCGUCAUUUUGCAUCUGGUAGGCCAUGUAAGAAUUCUUU